rnacentral:misc_RNA from 1 species
UCACGACUUUCUAAUAUAUAUUUUCAUUGAGAUGUCAUAAUUAUUGCACAACACAAGCUUUCGGCUCUUCUUUCAGAGAAUGUACAUAUAUUAAUAUGGAGUCUUAUGAGGAUCGUAUGCCUUGUAACUCCUUACAAGCUCCAUAACCUGUUACAAAAAACCACACAUAUAUGAGGCUUUAAGGAAAGAAUGAUUACUUAGAUCAGAAAACCAAAUUAAGUUUGAUCAUACAAAAUGAAAGCCCAGUCUCAAUAUCAUAUUAGUUUUAGUUUUAAAGCUUUAAUAAUAAAAUAAAAUAAAAAGAGUAAGAGUUGGACUUACACACUACCUUGAUUCCUGAAUUUUCAGGAGAAAGCAUGGUUCAUGCGGCAAAUCGUUCCACCAGCUUCCACUUCUCUUUAUUUUUUUGGAACCCGCCUGUCCCGUUCCACCCGAUCAAUUUUUUCUCCAGUCUGCUCCAAUCGUGCAGGGUGAGGGUCUCCCCCGUCCAAAUCCCCAUUGCUCACCAG